rnacentral:rRNA from 1 species
GACGAACCGAGCGAACGUUGGUCGGAAUCACUGGGCUUAAAGGGCGCGUAGGCGGGCAUUCAAGUCUAUGGUGAAAUCCGGCAGCUCAACUGUCGAAUUGCCGUGGAUACUGGGUGUCUCGAGGGAGGUAGGGGCAUGCGGAACUAUUGGUGGAGCGGUGAAAUGCGUUGAUAUCAAUAGGAACUCCGGUGGCGAAGGCGGCAUGCUGGACCUCUUCUGACGCUGAGGCGCGCAAGCCAGGGGAGCAAACGGG